rnacentral:rRNA from 1 species
CCCUUAGACGUUCUGGGCCGCACGCGCGCUACACUGACGAAGGCAACGAGCUUUCCUUUACCGAAAGGUACGGGUAAUCUUUUGAAACUUCGUCGUGCUGGGGAUAGAUCCUUGCAAUUUUUGAUCUUAAACGAGGAAUGCCUAGUAAGCGCAAGUCAUCAACUUGCGUUGAUUACGUCCCUGCCCUUUGUAUACACCGCCCGUCGCUACUACCGAUUGAAUGGUUUAGUGAGGCCUUCGGAUCCGCGACUCGUUUUGUGGAGAAGUUGGACAAACUCAGUCAUUUAGAGGAAGUAAAAGUCGUAACA